rnacentral:rRNA from 1 species
GACGAACGCUGGCGGCGUGCUUAACACAUGCAAGUCGAACGGAAAGGCCUCUUUCGGGGGGUACUCGAGUGGCGAACGGGUGAGUAACACGUGAGUAACCUGCCCUUGACUUUGGGAUAACUUCAGGAAACUGGGGCUAAUACCGGAUAGGAGCUCCUGCUGCAUGGUGGGGGUUGGAAAGUUUCGGCGAUUGGGGAUGGACUCGCGGCUUAUCAGCUUGUUGGUGGGGUAGUGGCUUACCAAGGCUUUGACGGGUAGCCGGCCUGAGAGGGUGACCGGCCACAUUGGGACUGAGAUACGGCCCAGACUCCUACGGGAGGCAGCAGUGGGGAAUAUUGCACAAUGGGUGGAAGCCUGAUGCAGCAACGCCGUGUGCGGGAUGACGGCCUUCGGGUUGUAAACCGCUUUCGCUCAUGACGAAGCUUUGUGUGACGGUAGUGGGUAAAGAAGCACCGGCUAACUACGUG